CCGCCACUAGCUCAACAGGACAGAGCAUCAGUCUUAUACGCUGAGGGUACGGGGUUUGAAUCCCCGGUGGCGGA
rnacentral:tRNA from 1 species